rnacentral:tRNA from 1 species
GGUCCUAUCGUCUAGUGGUUAGGAUAUCGGGUUUUCAUCCCGAAGACCGGGGUUCGAUUCCCCGUAGGACUGCCA